UAUAUUUGCCGCUCAUUCCUGAAAAUCAGGUAUGUUACAUAAAAAUUAUUUAAAAAAUAUUGGAAUG
rnacentral:ncRNA from 1 species